rnacentral:misc_RNA from 1 species
GUAGAGCCUGAGAUAGAAGUGCCAGCUCCCCAGAAUCACCACCAUAAAUAUUAUCUUCAUAAAUUGCUACAACCCUUCUCCAAUUAUAAGCGCGAGUAAGUUCUGCAAUACAUCUCAUUUGUUCAGAAUCAUUGUAAACCAUUCGUACCAGGAAAGGCCAUCGAGAUGGUGUUAAAGGUGGUGUUAUGGCAGGUGCAUCAAAUGAAAGAACGGGAACUUGAGCUUGGCUUCCAAUAUCAGCAACUAAAGCUGCCUCCUCCCAUCUCUCCAUGCCCAAUAUUGCCUUGACUCCCUUCUCUUUAAUAAAAUU